AAGUGUUUGGCGGUGAACAGAGUUAAUGUACCCUGAACGCCGCAGCCUCGCGUCGGCUUCGCUAACGUCCGCCAUCCUGCUCGAGGGACGUCCCCCGGGCCGCCCCUACGUGCUGCGGGCAUGUUGUGGACUUACAGACGUACAGAAAGCCUUGGCCUGUGGCCCAGCGAUGCUAACGUGCCCAGAUGUGGACAGACUGCGGCCAUCGGAGGACAUCGGCUCGUGUUCUGAGGUGCAUGCUGGGUAAAACAGAGACCCCCCCCC